rnacentral:rRNA from 1 species
GACGAACCGUCCUAACGUUGUUCGGAAUCACUGGGCUUAAAGGGCGCGUAGGCGGGUGAUCAAGUCAGGGGUGAAAUCUUUCGGCUUAACCGGAAAACAGCCCCUGAUACUGGUUGUCUUGAGGGAGGUAGGGGUCUGUGGAACUUCUGGUGGAGCGGUGAAAUGCGUUGAUAUCAGAAGGAACGCCGGUGGCGAAAGCGACGGACUGGACCUCUUCUGACGCUGAGGCGCGAAAGCUAGGGGAGCAAACGGG